rnacentral:rRNA from 1 species
CGUCGGGGAUGACAGUACCCUACUAGAAAGGGGCCGCUAACUGCGUGCCAGAAGCGUCGGUAAUACGUGGGCCCCAAACGUUAUCCGGUUUUACUGGGCGUAAAGGGUCGUGUAGGCGGUUAGCAAGUUUUUGCUUAAAGGCUACGGCUUAACCGUAGACAUGGCAAAAAUACUGCUAAGCUAGAAUAUCCUUGGGGGAGAUGGGAACUUGCGGUGGAGUAGUGAAAUGCGUUGAUACCGCAAGGAACACCAGUGGCGAAGGCGCAUCUCUCUAAAGAUAUUGACGCUGAGACACGAAAGCUAGGGGAGCGAAGCAGAUUAGAGACCUGCGUAGUCCUAGCCGUAAACGCAUGUCUGCUAGCUGUGCUUUUCUCCCUCCGAAUAGGCGGGGAUUAGGCAUGGCGAAGGUAACCCGUUAAGCAGNCCGCCUGGGGAGUACGGCCGCAAGGCUAAAACUCAAAGGAAUUGGCGGGGAGGCACACAACCAGUGGAACAUGUGGUUCAAUUCGAGACGAACCGAAGCACCUCACC